AUGCAAGGCCUACGGAUUUCAGGGGAUAUGAAAAUAACCUUCGAUAUUGGUCCUGAAGAUGAUCCUAAAGAUAAUAUCGACAUUUUGGAGGAUGUGGACAUGAUUCCAGUUCUACCUCUAUCUUAUUUCUUUUCUCCAAGAAAUACACGGAAGGCUGUACACAAGACCUACUACAGUUAUGGCUUGGAGCUAACUUGGGAGGAGAAAAAUUCUCUUGUCUCAUUUAUUAAUGAUGUUGAGACUUCUAAGACCAAAUAUGAAAUUAGCCAAAAUUAUAGUGGAUAUGUGCCGCUAGUCCACGAGUUGAGUGAGGUAACAUCAGUGCAAAUAGCAUGA
rnacentral:rRNA from 1 species